AUAUCUUGGUUAGCCACCACUCCUCUGUGCACCAUAACUCACUGAGCUUCCUCCAUCAUGGUGCCUUUCACACCAUUUGAUAAUGUGUGUGUGUUUGUGUGUGUGUGUGUGUGUGUGUGUAUUCAUCUGCAUACCCCACUGGGCUGUAUUGUUUUCAUGUGUGACUUGCUUGCCCUUUUAAGUCCAGCACCUAGAGGAGAUAGGUGCUGGCCCCAAUAUGCAUUUUCAACAAGUAUUUUUGAAUAAAUUGAGAUAUCAAUUUCCCCUAAUUUUAGGUGAGGAGUGUACCUGAUACAUAUACACUAGCCUCAUUAUAGUUUGUAUAGAUAACUUUGUCUUUUAAUCUGUGCCAUUUGCAAUUUUGAGAUACUUAUUAACUUCUCUUUGCUACUUCUUCCUUUGCCAUUUGCAUCUUUCAUUUCAGAAUUAUACAAUGUCCAGGUUUUUUCUUUCUACAGUAUAAAGCUCUGAACUCCUGAUUAAUCUUUCAAUAUGUUGAAUAACAUACACACACAUACGGGCACACACGUACAGCCUUUAUGUUUGGUUUCUUUCUUUGAAUGCCGUUUGUUAAAUAGUUCCUUUGGUAGUAAUCCCUCUGGCUUUAGGUAAAGCCAGUUCAAAGCAUUUUUAGAGCCUGGCAAUUUGUAGCUCUCUUUAAAAUAUCUUUUCAUCUCUCCAACUCCGUGCUUCUUAAUCUGUACUAGAAACCAAGCAUUUGAAAGAAACUAAUAUCACCUGCAUUGUGGCUGCUUCUUUGCCUUUCUGCCUCCCACUUGUUACUGUAGUUUAUUCAUCUUUAUUUUUCCAGCAUCUAGUCCAUGCCUGGAGCACUAGGCAUGCUAUCACUGCUUGUUAAAUUAGAAUUUGGAAAACUACCUAGUGCAAAUAUGUUUCCCACUGCUAGUAGACCACCCAUAUCGGUAGCUAUCUGGCCUAGUUAGCUGACAUGGCCAAUAAGGCUGCCAUAGAGGUAUAACUUUGUCUUUAAAGUAUUUAUUCAUUUCUGUUUCUCUUGUGGACUUCCAAUACAUGUAGAAAACAGGGACAUUGAAAACUGAAACAGUUGGGGGAAGAUUGAAGGGAUGUGGGUGUGGUUAUAAAAGGUUAACACAAGAAAUUUUUGUGGCAUUGAAACUGCUCAAUAUCUUUAUUGUGGUGAUAAAAUUGUAAAUAAUAGACACUCACACAAAUACCAUGAAUACAAGUAAAACUAGGGAUAUAUGAAUAAGAUUGGGGGAUUGAAUCAAUAUCCAUAUCCUAGUUAUAAUAUUGUAUUACAAUUUUGCAAAAUGUUACUGAUAGCAACAGGAGACAGACAAAUUCUGUCAGAUAGACAGACAGGGACAGUCCUCAGUGAAACCUGACCUUCAAUCCAAGGACAGUUUAAAGCCUAAAAACAGAGCUGCCAGUUCUCGAUAGAGUCCACGACUGGAGCGAGGACCUCUGUGCCCAUCUUACCCUCCUCUCUCUCUGUUGGUUCCUUCUGGAUGAUGCCUUUUAACCAGUCAAAUGGUGCUUUUUCCAAAGACCACCCAUGGACCAAUCAGCAUGCAUGCUUCCAUUCUAAGCCCAUAAAAACCCCAGACUCAGUCCUAUGGGGGCUACCUGCCUUUGGGCCCCUACUCACUGCCGAAGGGUCCCCUCUCGCAGUUGAGAGCUUUGCUUCUGUUGCUAAAUAAAAUUCUUUGCCUUACUCACUCUCUGGUGUGUGCAGAUGUUAUUCCUCUUGGUUGUGGGACAAGGACCUGGAACUCACAAAGCUGUGGGCAGCAGGAACAAGACAGCUGUAACACACCCGCAUUUGCCUAGCUCCAGACACAAAAAAGCAAAGCCACUGGGUACCACUCCCUCCCACUCGCCGAGCAACAAGAGAGAAAAAGCUUCUGGGCACCACUCCCUCCCACUCACGGAACACAAAAGCCACAACAUUUCUUGGGGGCUCAGACCUUGGGACUCCCCAAGCAAGAGCUGUAACACAGUGGCUACAGAGAUUUCCAGCUGGGGAAGUAGUACCAAAGGGAUCCUGUAACAUUACCAUUGGAAGAAAGUGCACAAAGUAUACAAGGGCUCUCUUAGUAUUAUACAAGUAUUUCAAUAAAAGUUUUCAUUUAAAAAAUGAAAGUUGAAAAAGAGAGAAACAGGAAACCAAUGUCAUAAAGAAAAGGGGUAAAUUAUUUCACUUUGAGCUUCCUAGUUAACCAAAGAAGUCAAGGCAAAAAAGAAAUAUCUUGGCCGGGCGCGGUGGCUCACGCCUGUAAUCCCAGCACUUUGGGAGGCCGAGGCGGGUGGAUCAUGAGGUCAGGAGAUCGAGACCAUCCUGGCUAACAAGGUGAAACCCCGUCUCUACUAAAAAUACAAAAAAUUAGCCAGGCGCGGUGGCGGGCGCCUGUAGUCCCAGCUACUCGGGAGGCUGAGGCAGGAGAAUGGCGUGAACCCGGGAAGCGGAGCUUGCAGUGAGCCGAGAUUGCGCCACUGCAGUCCGCAGUCCGGCCUGGGCGACAG
rnacentral:lncRNA from 10 species